CCACACAUCUACUACUGCUCCGCCAUCUCACCUUCCCCUCUUCUUUCCCAUCUCGACACAACGAUCGCGAUGUUGUCGUCAUCGAGCCCGCGCCUAUCAAUUCCACACACUUCAUCUCGGCACUUGGGAAGCUAUCGACAUGACUGUCGGUGUCACGACGAGAGUAGGUGCUUUCAAUUUAGUCGGGGGCUAAGAUUUCCGUGUGGGAGAUUGCGUGGGAUGCUGAUGUGUUAGAUUGUGUGAG
rnacentral:lncRNA from 1 species